UCCCGGUUAACCCGGGCAGUCUCGUUAGAGUUCCCCUUUCGGGGUUCUACUUCCAGCAUGUCAAGCCUAGGUGAGGUUCUUCGCGUUGCAUCGAAUUAAACCACACGCUCCGCUGCUUGUGCGGGCCCCCGUCAAUUCCUUUGAGUUUUAGCCUUGCGGCCGUACUCCCCAGGCAGGGCACUUAAUGCGUUAGCUGCGGCACCGGAGGGGUCGAUACCCCCGACACCUAGUGCCCAACGUUUACGGCGUGGACUAC
rnacentral:misc_RNA from 1 species